GCCAUUUUUCUAAAUACCUUGAAGGCACCAGAUUCCAUCUGAACUUGGAAGCUAAACAAGGUCAGUCUUGGUUAGUACUUGGGUAAGGGGCCAUCAAAGAAUACCAGCAGCUGUAGGCU
rnacentral:rRNA from 1 species